GGGCUCAGAUCACCAAGAGGAGAUGGGAUGCUGAAGUACUUGACAACCAGCAGUGGAAACGCUACCUGGAGGAGAAAUGUAUUCCCUGGCUAAGGAGUUCUCUAGAGUAUGGGAAGGAGACUCUGCGGAGGAAAGUGUGCCCAACAGCUG